CUGGGUGUUUGGUAUCUAACAGCAUUAACUGCCCUUAGGUAAGGUCCUUGGCCUUUUUUGAGUCUUAAUUUCCUCAUUGUUAGUACAGGGAAAGUAGCACAUACCUCCUAUAGCUAUAGUCCUGACCCUUGACCAGAAAUAAAGCGUUAAAAAUAGCUGGUACUCAGUAGUUGCUCAUCAACAUUAGCAAAGAUGCCAAAAUAAAGUAGAAAGAAUAUAAGCUCUGAUUCUCAGUUCAUAUAACUCCUUGUGAGUUAUAUGGCCUCAGGCAGGUUGCUCACCUCUUUUAAGCCUCAACUUUCUUGUCUUUAAAAAUCUUCAACACUGGUACAGGAGGGUUGUAAUAAGGGUUUGGUGUUAAUAGUAAUGCAUGGAAAAGAUCAGAUGCUGCAUCAGUUGUACCUGUUAUUAUUGUCUCUGUACGAGGAAUCAUCUAGACCUAAAAUCUUUUGGCAUCUCCGAUGGCUGUUAUAUGCAGUUUCUGAAGAGAAUUGAAUUAGCAACACGGAUAGCCCUGGUGGAAAAGACUACACAGAAAAGUGAAAAGAAAAGAAAAUAGAGAAAGCUUUGAGAGAUUAAAAGUGGGAACAUUUCCCAACUUUAUGAGGCUAGCGUUGCCCUGAUAUCAAAACCAAAGACAUCACAAGACAACCAUGUACCAAAAGGUCCUGUGUCAUGAACAUGGAUGCAAAAAUUCUCAACAAAAUAUUAGUCACUCCAAUUAAGCAAAAUAUGGAGAAGAUGAUACCACAUGACCAAGUAGGCAUUAUCUUGGGGGGGGGGAAUACAAAGUUUAUUAAUGUUCAAAAAUCAAUCACUGGAAUUCAUUACAUCAACCGACUAAAGGAAAUAAACCCAUAUGAUCAUCUGAAUAGAUUGCAGAAAAAUUAUUUGAAGGAACUAAACACCAUUCAUGAUAAAAACUCUUGGUAAACUAGGGCUACUGAUUUGAUAAAAGACAUUUACAAAAACCCCUACAAUUGUAAUCCUAUAUAAUGGUGAAAAUUGAAUACUUGCCCCACAGACCAGGAAGAAGGCUAAUUACAUAUAUGAUAAAGAACUUGCAUCCAUAAUACGUAAAGAAUUCUUAAAACUCAAUAAUAAGAGAGCCAAAGAUUUAACACUUCUCAAAAGAAGAUAUACCGGGCUGGGGAUAUGGCUCAAGCGGUAGCGUGCUCGCCUGGCAUGCUAGGGGCACUGGGUUCGAUCCUCAGCACCAAAUAAAAAUAAAAUAAAGAUGUUGUGUCCACCGAAAACUAAAAA
rnacentral:lncRNA from 1 species